AGUGAACGCUGGCGGUAGGCCUAACACAUGCAAGUCGAACGGCAGCACAGAGGAGCUUGCUCCUUGGGUGGCGAGUGGCGGACGGGUGAGGAAUACAUCGGAAUCUACUCUGUCGUGGGGGAUAACGUAGGGAAACUUACGCUAAUACCGCAUACGACCUACGGGUGAAAGCAGGGGACCUUCGGGCCUUGCGCGAUUGAAUGAGCCGAUGUCGGAUUCGCUAGUUGGCGGGGUAAAGGCCCACCAAGGCGACGAUCCGUAGCUGGUCUGAGAGGAUGAUCAGCCACACUGGAACUGAGACACGGUCCAGACUCCUACGGGAGGCAGCAGUGGGGAAUAUUGGACAAUGGGCGCAAGCCUGAUCCAGCCAUACCGCGUGGGUGAAGAAGGCCUUCGGGUUGUAAAGCCCUUUUGUUGGGAAAGAAAUCCAGCUGGUUAAUACCCGGUUGGGAUGACGGUACCCAAAGAAUAAGCACCGGCUAACUUCGUGCCAGCAGCCGCCGUAA
rnacentral:rRNA from 1 species